UACGUAGGUGGCAAGCGUUGUCCGGAUUUAUUGGGUUUAAAGGGUGCGUAGGCGGCCCUGUAAGUCAGUGCUGAAAUAUCCCGGCUUAACCGGGAGGAUGGCAUUGAUACUGCGGGGCUAGAGUACAGAUGAGGUAGGCGGAAUUGACGGUGUAGCGGUGAAAUGCUUAGAUAUCGUCAAGAACACCUAUAGCGAAGGCAGCUUACUGGGCUGUAACUGACGCUGAGGCACGAAAGUGUGGGGAUCAAACAGG
rnacentral:rRNA from 1 species